GUAAAAUGAUGAUUUUCUAGUAUCCAAGAAUCAAUUAAAAAUUUUCUGGAAUUUCAUUGGAAUUAAUGAAAUGAGUUUCUGAUUUACGUAUAUUCACUUAACAGUUUUUGAACUCCCAAUGACCUUCAUAAAUCAAAAAGUACCUGUACUAGAGGAUCUCAGACUUAUUAUGGGGGUUAUAUUCAGAAAGUUUGACCUCAUCUCUAAUCAGAUAUAACUCAAAACAUGAUUUUCCAUAGGCACAAUAUUACAAAUAGAAAUUACAUUCCUCAACUACCAGAAAUCAGAAUAUUUUAUUAUUUUAACUAUUGAAUACAAUAAUGAUGAAUAAAUACUGUUUAUUCUUUAAAAUGAGGAAAAUGUUUAUCUUGUGUCUAACAGCAUUGUAUGUAGGUGUAAAUAUAAAGAAAAAAUCAUGUAAAAAUGAAGAUGAAAUGUUUCUUUUUGUGUGUCCAAGUUUUAGCUGGAUGGCCACGUGGCAAAGCAGUCAUUUAAUACUGAAUCCACGUAUCCAAUUUUCAGAGGCGUUCAGACCUUAAUAAACCUAUUGAACUUUCUGAUUGAUCCCAUUGUGGAUGCCUAUGGAAUAGUGGUAGUUUCUAAUAGUGGUUGUUGCCAAAUUUAUCCCAUGUGAUUCAGUGGCUUAAUUCAAACUAAUCUGAACAAAUUUCUAGUAAAAAUAAACAGUUAUUUUUUUAUUGCCACUUUGUAAUUAUUGGCUAAUUACAACAUAAUGAAACAGGCCAACUACAAAUUGCCUAUAUCUUUAGUAGCCACCAGCAGGACUUUAUCAUAAAUGAAUUGACACAGUACUGGAUUCAUCAAAAAAUUUUCUUUGGCAUGAAAUUUGAAUUCUAUCUUCACUAGGCCUGGGAUUGAAUUUGGAUAAGUGAAUUAAUUUACUAUGUGUGAUUGCAGACAGUUAUUAUGCU
rnacentral:lncRNA from 1 species